GUGGAAUUCAUCAUAAUUUUAUGAGUAUCAAUAUUAAUGAAUCUAAUUACAAGAGUUCAUCUGUCAUAUUUGAAAAGUAAGAAAUAGAUUUGCACCAUUGGAAUAGUAGGUUGAGCUAGAAAACAAGACUAUAGAAUAUGAAUAGUGAAGUAUUCCGUAUCUCUUUCUUCUGAAGAAUAUUCACUAUCUAUUGACAUUUCUUCAAGAGCAAAAAUUGUCUCAUGAAUAGCAUUUUCUUGUUCUUGGAAUAAGGAUUAAAC
rnacentral:misc_RNA from 1 species